rnacentral:tRNA from 1 species
GCCGGUGUGGCUCAGUGGUUAGAGUGUUGGCUGCAGACCAAAGGGUCCCAGGUUUGAUUCCGGUCAAGGGCA